GUAGGCUGUUCGCCACACUUGGGAACAGAAGCAUGGCGUGCGAGCUGCGAGCUGUGUUGCUGUGGGGCCGCGCGCUGCAGACUGUACUGCGGGCGCCCGCGCUGGCUGGAGUCUGGCGAGGAAAGCCAGUUCUGCACCUUCAGAAGACUACAGUGCAGUUUAGGGGCCCCACACAAAGUCUGGCUUCAGGGAUCUCUGCAGGAAAGUUAUACAGCACACAGGCAGCUGAGGACAAGGAGGAGGAGAGCCUGCACUCCAUCAUCAGCAACACUGAGGCAGUGCGGGGUUCUGUCUCCAAACAUGAGUUCCAGGCAGAGACAAAGAAACUUUUGGACAUCGUAGCCCGUUCUCUGUACUCAGAAAAAGAGGUGUUCAUACGAGAGCUCAUCUCCAACGCCAGUGAUGCCUUGGAGAAACUGCGGCACAAGCUGGUGUGUGAAGGCCAGGUGUUGCCAGAAAUGGAGAUUCACCUUCAGACGGAUGCCAAGAAGGGCACUAUUACCAUUCAGGACACUGGCAUUGGGAUGACACAGGAGGAACUGGUGUCCAACCUUGGCACAAUCGCCAGAUCGGGGUCAAAGGCCUUCCUAGAAGCACUGCAGAACCAGGCAGAGACCAGCAGCAAGAUCAUUGGCCAGUUUGGAGUGGGUUUCUAUUCAGCCUUCAUGGUAGCUGACAAAGUUGAAGUCUAUUCUCGCUCAGCAGCUCCAGAGAGCCCAGGUUACCAGUGGCUUUCAGAUGGUUCUGGAGUGUUUGAAAUUGCGGAAGCUUCAGGAGUUAGACCUGGGACCAAAAUAAUCAUCCACCUCAAGUCAGACUGUAAAGAUUUUGCCAGCGAGUCCCGGGUGCAAGAUGUGGUAACAAAGUACAGUAACUUUGUCAGCUUCCCCUUGUACCUUAAUGGAAGGCGGAUUAACACUUUGCAGGCCAUCUGGAUGAUGGACCCAAAGGACAUCAGUGAGCUUCAGCAUGAGGAAUUCUACCGUUAUAUCGCGCAGGCUUAUGAUAAGGCCCGUUUCACUUUGCACUACAAGACGGACGCACCACUCAACAUCCGCAGCAUCUUCUAUGUGCCAGAAAUGAAACCAUCCAUGUUUGAUGUGAGCAGGGAGCUGGGCUCCAGUGUGGCACUGUAUAGCCGCAAGGUCCUCAUCCAGACCAAGGCUGCAGACAUCCUGCCCAAGUGGCUGCGCUUCAUUCGAGGUGUGGUGGACAGUGAGGACAUUCCCCUGAACCUCAGCAGAGAGCUCCUGCAGGAGAGUGCGCUCAUCCGGAAACUCCGGGAUGUUCUACAACAGAGAUUGAUCAAGUUCUUCAUUGACCAGAGUAAAAAAGAUGCUGAAAAAUACGCAAAGUUUUUUGAAGAUUAUGGCUUGUUCGUGAGGGAGGGCAUUGUGACCACCGCAGAGCAAGACAUCAAGGAGGAUAUUGCAAAGCUGCUACGGUAUGAGUCCUCAGCCCUGCCUGCUGGGCAGCUGACCAGCUUACCAGACUAUGCCAGUCGAAUGCAGGCUGGCACCCGCAACAUCUAUUACCUGUGUGCCCCUAACCGUCACCUGGCUGAACACUCACCCUAUUACGAAGCCAUGAAGCAGAAACAUACUGAGGUGCUCUUCUGCUAUGAGCAGUUCGAUGAGCUUACUCUGCUGCACCUGAGGGAGUUUGACAAGAAGAAGCUGAUCUCUGUGGAAACAGACAUUGUCGUUGAUCACUACAAGGAGGAAAAGUUUGAGGACACAUCUCCAGCUGAUGAGCGCCUCUCGGAGAAGGAAACAGAAGAUCUAAUGGCAUGGAUGAGAAAUGCACUGGGGUCCCGUGUCACCAAUGUGAAGGUGACUUUCCGCCUAGACACCCACCCUGCCAUGGUGACCGUGCUGGAGAUGGGGGCUGCUCGGCAUUUCUUGCGCAUGCAGCAGCUGGCCAAGACCCAGGAGGAACGUGCUCAGCUGCUACAGCCCACACUGGAGAUCAACCCCAGGUAGGCCUGGGCUCCAGCACAGACCUGUCAGGGGCUCCUGCAGUUGUGAGCAUAGGAUCUUCUGUCUGGAGAACAUCUAAGCGUGUUUGUAAAGUUUCUAUGCCGUCCGUGUCAGGAUGUUCUACAAGGCCCUUGGAAUUAACAGAAGUUAAAAGGCACACACUGAUAAAGAAGCUCUGCCAGCUGAGGGAGAGCGAGCCGGAGCUGGCCCAGCUGCUCGUGGAUCAGAUCUAUGAGAAUGCCAUGAUAGCAGCAGGACUCGUUGAUGACCCCCGGGCCAUGGUCGGCCGCCUGAACGACCUUUUGGUCAAGGUCCUGGAGAAACACUGACAGCCAAGACUUAGUGUCAACCCAGGUCUUCUCAGCUGAUAAUGGACGUGCCUGGGGAGGCAGGACUUAAUACACAAACAGUGCCACCAACUGCUUGAGCUCAGCUUUAUUUACUUCAAUUAAACAGUAUUUCUUAG